GUAGGUGGCAAGCGUUGUCCGGGAAUUAUUGGGCGUGAAGCGCGCGCAGGCGGUUCGUUUAAGUCUGAUGUGAAAGCCCACGGGCUCAACCGUGGAGGGUCAUUGGAAACUGGAGAACUUGAGUACAGAAGAGGAAAGCGGAAUUCCACGUGUAGCGGUGAAAUGCGUAGAGAUGUGGAGGAACACCAGUGGCGAAGGCGGCUUUCUGGUCUGUAACUGACGCUGAGGCGCGAAGGCGUGGGGAGCAAACAGGAUUAGAUACCCUGGUAGUCCACGCCGUAAACGAUGAGUGCUAAGUGUUAGGGGGGUUUCCGCCCCUUAGUGCUGCAGCUAACGCAUUAAGCACUCCGCCUGGGGAGUACGGCCGCAAAGGCUG
rnacentral:rRNA from 1 species